UGCGUAGGCGGGCUAAUAAGUCAGUGGUGAAAUCCUACAGCUUAACUGUAGAACUGCCAUUGAAACUGUUAUUCUUGAGUACAUUUGAAGUGAGUGGAAUGUGUUAUGUAGCGGUGAAAUGCUUAGAUAUAACACAGAACUCCAAUAGCGAAGGCAGCUCACUAAACUGUAACUGACGCUGAGGCACGAAAGCGUGGGUAGCGAACAGGAUUAGAUACCCUGGUAGUCC
rnacentral:rRNA from 1 species